rnacentral:lncRNA from 1 species
GAAUCUUCAUCCUUAUUAGUUGAAGGCCAUGUCCAAUGGGCUUCAAGGAGGCUGCCAGAGGUGUUAUUAGGAAUUAGAGUUUCUUUUUUGAAGUCAUUUGAGUUUUUUAGGCUAGUAUUGGCAAGUUUAGGUUUUUGGAUACAGAUUAGGUGCAAAUUUUGUGUGAUUUAGAGUUUUUAUGAAGGAAUUAUUGGCGCUCAAAGUUAAGGUAUCAAUUUCGUACCUAUUGGCACUCUUUGGAGCAUAACAUAUGCUUAUAGAGAUCAAAGAAGGAUCGGCAACUAAGGUCGAAGAGAAAAAUUUCUUCACUACAUUUUUUGUAUGUUAUUUGAUGAAUUUAGAGUUUGGAUGAAGAAGUUAUAGAAAGU